rnacentral:rRNA from 1 species
AUGGUGGUUGUAUCAGGAAUCCUACUGCUAUUCUGUAUUCUGUCGCCGUUAUUACAAAGAACAACAACGACAGGAGAUAUAGUCUGCUUGGCGUGGAAUUGCCGAGGAAUUGGGGGCUCCAAGACAGUCCGCGACUUGGUGUCCCUCAAUCAAGUGCAUCAUCCUAGCUUUAUAUUCCUUUGUCAAACUAAUAAGAUAAAGAGAAGACGUUUGAGAAAUCGGCUAGGCCUGAGAGGCUUUGCAGGAAUAAGCAGUGCACGGUUCAGUGGAGGGCUGGCCCUCUUCUAGGAUGAGCACUUG